CAUUAAUGGAGUAUUUAAUUAUCUGUAUUUCAAUGCAGUUGAUCUCAAGGCUCUAGCUCCAUGACAUAUACGUAUAUAUGACAGCUGAACAUUUAAAAAUCUUUGCAAAGUUUUUUAUUUCUUUUGACCAUGUAUAGUUGCGUAGAUCUUUCUGCAAUGGAAAUCUGGCAACCCAACUUCAUAUUUUUAUUUUUUUUCUGACAAUUGCCCAGUCUAAGUCCAUGUUCAAGCAUUAUUUUUAUCUGAACCUAAGAUUACGGUAUUACUGGCAAGGCUCUUGUAAACUUCUAUAUAUAGUCUUGCAUGGUACUUAUGGAGGUUACUGGAAGGUGUGGGCGUUUCUAUUGAGGUAGGAACUGAAGCUUAAUGAAGUUCAUUUAUACAGUAUGUACCUGUUUUCUUUUUUCUUUUCCUUUUCUUCUUUUUUAAUGGUAUAGACAUAGUGAUGGUAUUAGAUGUUAAUACAUGUACUUGACAUAUAUUUUCCUGCUUCCAGGUUUCAAUUGCUACUUGACUGCGUGAGUAAGACUAGCCCAUUACUUCCAGGGUUCAGGGAUUAUUGCUUCAGGUUCUCAAAAUUUUAACAGGAGGCAUGAGUACUAUCAUAACUGCAAUUAUAUCUGCAUCAAUUAGUCUUGUGUCAAUAUGUUAUACUGUGUCCAAAGAUGCAUAUGCAUAUCUGGAGAAGAAACUUCAGUAUUCAAGGAACUUGGAAGAAAACUACGAGGCGUUGUACUGGGGACUAGACAACCUCCUCCGUUUAAGGACUGACAUCAACCAAUACAUCCAGAGAAAGGGAAUAAAAUCGCCCACGAUUUGCAAGAACUGGAAUAAUAGGGUGUGGAAGAUUGAUGGUGAAUCAAGAAUUUUAUUCAACAAAUAUAGGCGUACAAGGAAAUCAUGGGUCCUGCCACGAGCAAAACUUAGUAGAAAAAUGGUCAAGUUGUUGGAGAAAAUUACGGAUCUCCAAAAUGAUGGGAAAGAAUUAGGCAAGUUACUUACAGGAAACAGCAGGAAUAAGUAAGACAACAGGAAAAAUUGGAGAUUUUUUGGGUGUGUAAAUUAAGUGUCGAGUGAACUUUCAGACUUGGUAUUGUUUGUUUUCCUUUUUAAAUUUCUUUUCAAUAUUCAGCUUGCUACUGUAACUGUAAAUAUGUUGAAGGAUGUUUCUGUUUAACGAUGUUCUAGCAAUGGAAUUGAUGCUCACUGCUCAGCAUAUAUAUA